rnacentral:rRNA from 1 species
UACGUAGGGUGCAAGCGUUGUCCGGAAUUAUUGGGCGUAAAGAGCUCGUAGGUGGUCUGUUGCGGCGGCUGUGAAACCCCGAGGCUCAACCUCGGGCCUGCAGCCGAUACGGGCAGACUAGAGUUCGGCAGGGGAGACUGGAAUUCCUGGUGUAGCGGUGAAAUGCGUAGAUAUCAAGAGGAACACCUGCGGCGAAGGCGGGUUGCUGGGCCGACACUGACGCUGAUGCGCGAAAGCUAGGGGAGCGAACGGG